AGGACUCACCUAAUUGGCUCCGGCCCAUGUAGGUAGCCUUCCUUUUGAUUUGCUCAAAGGCAACUAAUUGAGAAGUGAACCAUGGGAGUUCUCUCCCUCUGCAUUCUAGGUCCUGCCCACACUCGCAGGAGGGCGUGAGAAUCUUGGAGGCCAGCUUAGCAUUCUGCCUACCAUGGCCAUAUUCUAUUCGUGAGAAGAAAAUUACUAGGUCCAUCCCACCACCAAGAUGACACAAAGGUGUGAAAGGUCAGGGGUCAGAGGCCGCUGGGAGCCAUUUCAGAAGCUGUACGUUCCUAUUUUACAGGCCCUUUCUCAUAGUUGGGAGAGGUAACAGAAGGGUGUCUAAUUCUGCCCUUUUGGAGGCUGUAGUCUUUCAACCAUUUCCUUGUGCAUUCUGUAAUUUUGGGUUUCGAGCUCAGCUUCCGAGGGACCGUGGAAUGGGAGCGCACAGAACUUUAACCAGGGACUGGAUCCCAGGUGGACAAAAUCACAGAGCUGCUUUUGGAGCAAUGACGGCCAUGACUGGGAGUCUGAUCUUCUACUCAUGGGUCCAGAGCCUCCAGCUGGUCACCUUAUCCGGAGGCGACAGAGACAAGGGGCGAUGACACCAACGUCAAUGUCAUACCUUAUGACCAGACCUGGAGAUUCCAAGGGACCAGGCAUUCACAUCUGAUGGCUCAGUUAGCCUGCCCUCAGAGAGCCAGCCUGCCGGGGCUUGUUGCCAUGACCUGUUACACUGCUCGGCCAGGAGGGUGUGUGUGGCCUGUCAUAUGUGAGUGUGUGGGUCUCGUCCGUGUCCCAGGAGCAGUAGGGGGGCUUGUCAAGUCUUCUGAUGGAGAAAUCACUCUGGCAGAACAUGAUCUGAAACCACACCCUCUCCCGAGUGGCCGCUCCAAGGGCCUGGGGAGCCUUGGCAUCUGUCCAACAUCAGAGUCUUUGUCCAGUAUCGAGAUGGAAGUUAGAAAGACUUUGAAAUGUGACGAAUUGCAGCCCCUUUCCCACGUCACCCCGCUUGCCUGGCACGCCCAUGGCCCACCCUCUUCCAGGUGGCACCCUGCCCGGCCUUCAGGGGCUGAGUGUCUGCGUGUCUGGUUGCCCCACUGUGACUGGAGCUUAGCUGAGAUUCUGCCACGAGGAUGUCACCACAUCUGCCGCCAGAGAACUUUCCCCUCCACGCCAGAUGCUGCUGGGGAACUGGAAGGACAGAGCGCUGGCGCUUCACCCAGCCCACGGGCCCCACCACUUGAUCUGUUCUGGGUCGGCUUGCUGUUGACAGUCUGCACGACGUAGGCAGCGUGGGACCGUCACCUGCCCGAGAGUACAGGCCGCCUGGGGGAGGCGAGCUGUGGCCCUCAUUACAGCUGUAGCCCUCACUGCCCUGCAUGACUGCUGGACCCCCAAAGCUGCCAAAGACAACUUGGUAACCAGCUUGUGUUGGUUGCAGCAGACCCGGGGUGGGGUGGGGGGGCUCCCCUCUCAGGCAUCACAGACCAUGCAUUUAAUCACCUUCUCUAGAACUGGGUCCAGAAAGGCCACAGUUGGUUUUCUGGGCAAGAGGGGGCCACGGGAUCCAGUAAGGGGCUCCCAGUAGGUACAUGACGUUAAUAGCUGACGUUCACAGACAGCUUUCUCUGUGCCAGCCCUGUGCUAACACAGAGGUGCCCGAACUUUCUCGCUUCCUGGCACCCUCAGUGUCUUGGUAAUUCAUGGCACUCCUAGGCUGAAAGAAAUAUCCAACAGUUCUAUUUAUGAAUUGUUUUAGGUCCCAAUAACUUCAUAAGUAUUUAGGUUCUAAUAACUUAGUGGUCAUUUAGAAAAUAGAAUACAAGUCAAGAGAAAGAAAAAACAGUACUUUUAUUUCAUUCUUUCAUAACCACCACUACUUACUAAUCGGCUGUGAGUACUGGCCAGCUUCUCUAACCUUGGACUCAGACUGGACACCUCCAGCCUUGUUUCCUGGUCCAUGGUGGUUUUCAUUCUUUAUCCCCCAAAUCAAAGAAAACCCAGCUUCUCAAAGAUACAUGUGAAAGGAAUGUAGUGUGAUCAACCGUUGAAAGUGUGAACCACCGGGACCUGUUAGUCUGCUCAGGUGGACAGUUGUACAGCGUCGCUGUUUCCCUCCAAAGUUUAGAAAAUUUAAGCUACCCUCUGUACCCUUGUGCGUUUCCUACAGAGCUUGGGGACCUCGGAGGCGCCCUGCUAAGGAGUUUCAUACAUGCUUCCUCUUGUACAGAAAGACACCUUAUGGAGAAGGAGCCUGUGGCUCAGAUGGGUGGAGCCCUUGCCUGAGGUCACAGAGCCAGGCUCCAGGGCCCCCU
rnacentral:lncRNA from 1 species